AAAGAAGUGGAGACUAUGAUGUAUUUGGAUUGGCGGGCCCAUUAGGAUUUUAUUUGGGCAACCUUUUUUGUCUUUGAUUUUGUGCACAUGGCUUUGUUGUUAAUUUGAUACAAUGAAUCUAGAGGAGGAUUAUGCUGGCUGCCGAAAAUGAAUGAAGGAAGCAAAAAGAGAAAUGGAAAUGUGUUUUGGUGUGGGACCCACUUUGGAUAUUUAUAUAUAUUUUUCUAUGUAGUGUAUUUGUAUUGUGUGGCCAAAGUUCUUUCUUGGAUUCACUCACGUGGCCUUGUAUUUGGUGGCUGAUUUUUGUUGUCUUUUAAGUGAUACAUUGAAUGAGAAUAAAGGCUAAGAGAUAAGAAAAGGUACAAGUUUGAAUGAACGGUGGGACCCAAUAGAUUUUUGCUCUGUAAUUGAAUUGAUAUUUAUUUUUGUGCCGGUGGAAUUACAUUAUAAAUAGAGUGUUUUGUGUUUUGAGUUUAUAUGAGCAAACGGAGAAGGAAAAUUAGAGUGAGUUUGAGGAAACAGACAGUGCCAAGAUGGGCAGACAGACUUAGAGAAUUGAGGAUGCAAUGAUUUUUGUUUUACAGUUUUCAGGUACCAAGGAUGCUUGAGGAUUUUUAGUUGCUGGUUUAGGUAGAAGAGUUGGUGUUGAGGAUUUUUAUUUAAUUAUUUAGAGAUUUUUGUAUAUUCAUUUUUGAGGAAUUACUUUAAUUUAUUUAGAGAUUUUGUAUAUUUAUUUGAGGAAUUGAUUCUGUAUAUUUUGUAUAUUUAUUUGUAUAUUUUGAUGUAUUUUGAUUUGAAUGAAUCAAGCAAUUUAUUUUGAAAAAAAUUCGGGGCGUGAGAGAAUGAUAUUAGAGCCUGUACCUAGCCGGAAGUGUGAGUUUAGUAAUGAUGUUGUCGGGUGUGUGUGGGCGAGUGUUUAGUAUUGACUAGCUACCACUCGUAGCCGGGUGUGUGUGUCCAGAUGUCGUUCACUGGCAGCUAUUAGGAUGAUUACUAUCAGUGAUUAGAGGUAGGUGUCCCUAGAUCACUAUCGGUUUUAUUUUGUGGGCGGGUAACGGCAUCGUCUAGUUACCACAACGGUUACGGAGUGUGUGAGCGGGUAAUUAGCACUGUCAGCUACCACAAUAUUUUUCAUGUCACUGAAUUUGACAUCGCCUGGGGUAAGGAUUUUUUUUUUUUUUAUGGAUUAUGUUUUACUACUUUUGGUGUUUUCAGGUACGAAGACUGUUCGAUCUGAAUUUUGGGACGAAAUUCUUUUUAAGUGGUGGAGAAUGUGACAACCCGAAUUUUUUUAAGAAUUGAAAUUCAAUUAUUUUAUGAUUUUUAGUUGUUAAAAUUGAUUAUUUUGUUUUAAUUGGAGACUUACUAAUUAGAGAUUGAGUUAUUGAUUUUUAAAUUGGAGACUACAGUUUUUAUUUAAUUUCAUUUCAUGAUUUUAAUUAUCAUGAUGGGAGAAAGCUGUCGAAAAUUGAAGAGGAAAAGAAUUGUAAUGGUUUAUUGGCGGAUCCCAUUAAAUGGUGUUAAUGGGUUGAUUUUGGUUUUGAUACAUUAUAUAUAUAUAUAUAUAUAUAUAUAUCUAAUAUGGUUUGUGAGAUAAAGAGAAGGCAGCACGAAGUGGGAAAGGAAGUGGAAACUAUGAUGUAUUUGGAUUGGCGGGCCCACUUAGAUUUUAUUUGGGCAACGUUUUUUGUCUUUAAUUUUGUGCACAUGGCUUUGUUGUUAAUUUGAUACAAUGAAUCUGGAGGAGGAUUAUGCUGGCUGCCGAAAAUGAAUGAAGGAAGCAAAAAGAGAAAUGGAAAUGUGUUUGGUACGGGACCCACUUUGGAUAUUUAUAUAUAUUUUUCUAUGUAGUGUAUUUGUAUUGUGUGGCCAAAGUUCUUUCUUGGAUUCACUCACGUGGCCUUGUAUUUGGUGGCUGAUUUUUGUUGUCUUUUAAGUGAUACAUUGAAUGAGAAUAAAGACUAAGAGAUAAGAAAAUGUACGAAUUUGAAUGGACGGCGGGACCGAAUAGAUUUUUGUUCUGUAAUUGAAUUGAUAUUUAUUUUGUGCCAGUGGAAUUACAUUAUAAAUAGAGUGUUUUGUGUUUAUAUGAGCAAACGGAGAAGGAAAAUUAGAGUGAGUUUGAGGAAACAGACAGUGCCAAGAUGGGCAGACAGACUUAGAGAAUUGAGGAUGCAGUGAUUUUUGUUUUACAGUGUAGGGUUCUUCAUAUCUUGAAUGGCCUGGAUGAUUUUGAUUCAAAUAUUUUAUUAAUUGUUGUUUUGUUAAAAUUGCAUAUAUAUAUUUUGUUUAAAUAUAUAUGUAUAUUUUUGUGAAGUUAAUUUUGCAUGAAACUCUUUGAAAUCCUUGCUAUGGUUUUUCCUACUGGGACUUCCUCCGUCUCACCCCCUUCCAGUUUCAAGUAUCGAGGAUGCUUGAGGAUUUUUAGUUGCGAGUUUAGGUGGAAGAGUUGGUGUUGAGGAUUUUUAUUUAAUUAUUUAGAGAUUUUUGUAUAUUCAUUUUUGAGGAAUUAUUUUAAUUUAUUCAGAGAUUUUGUA